rnacentral:misc_RNA from 1 species
AUUCUAAAUACUACUCAUUAAUUACUUUUCAUCUAAAAACUUCCCCACAAAAAAUAAUUCCCAUAUUAUCUUCACUAAAACCCAAAAAUUAUUAAUUUCUUUCUCUUCCUCUCCUCCUUAAAAUUCAAAUAAACUCCAAAUCCUAAUAUAUCCUAACCCAAAAUUCCUCAAUAUUAACUAAAACUAAAUACUAAUCUUAAAUA